GGGAAUAUCGCAUAAUGGUAUUGCACCAGACUGUAAAUCUGGCGAUUCGAAAGGUCAUUCUUGGUUCAAAUCCAAGUAUUCCCACCA
rnacentral:tRNA from 1 species